rnacentral:sRNA from 1 species
UUUCUAACUAUAACCAAAGAUUCAUAUACUUUAGCCAAUUUCCUCAUAUAUAAAUGGGAAAAUGUCAAAAAAAUCACGAACUUUCAAAUUUAGGACGAUUCAAUCUUGAAUUUCACGGAAGACAAAUAAAUCGUAAAGUUUUUGUUCACUUUCUAAAUAAAUGAUAAAGUUUUUGUUGAAUUGUCAUUGGAGUCAUGUCGUUGAGUAGGUUAACAUAAUUAUUUUACGGCGUUAAUGUCUCGUUUAUCUCCUUUGUUAGAACAAAACAACAUUGUUUAUUGCAACUCGUUUUGUCCGUUAAAACAAAUUUAAACCCUAAAUCCCCAAAUCGAUUUCAAUAUCUGCGAUUUUGAGGUCAAAGUAAGUCUGUGAUUUUGAGAUAAUGAAAUCGAUUUGAGAAUUUAAGGUUUCUAUUUGUUUCAAAAGACAAAGCGACGUCGUUUUAUUUUUUGGGCAAAGACUUAAUUACUCUCUCUCUUUA